rnacentral:rRNA from 1 species
AUUGAACGCUGGCGGCAGGCCUAACACAUGCAAGUCGAGCGGAUGAAGGGAGCUUGCUCCUGGAUUCAGCGGCGGACGGGUGAGUAAUGCCUAGGAAUCUGCCUGGUAGUGGGGGAUAACGUCCGGAAACGGGCGCUAAUACCGCAUACGUCCUGAGGGAGAAAGUGGGGGAUCUUCGGACCUCACGCUAUCAGAUGAGCCUAGGUCGGAUUAGCUAGUUGGUGGGGUAAAGGCCUACCAAGGCGACGAUCCGUAACUGGUCUGAGAGGAUGAUCAGUCACACUGGAACUGGGACACGGUCCAUAGUCCUACGGGAGGCAGCAGUGGGGAAUAUUGGGCAAUGGGCGAAAGCCUGAUCCAGCCAUGCCGCGUGUGUGAAGAAGGUCUUCGGAUUGUAAAGCACGUUAAGUUGGGAGGAAGGGCAGUAAGUUAAUACCUUGCUGUUUUGACGUUACCAACAGAAGAAGCACCGGCUAACUUCGUG